rnacentral:lncRNA from 1 species
ACUGAUAUUCUUGGUAUUUUGGGUUGGGGUUUCUUUCCUCACUGGUAUUUUUGGUAUUUUGGGUUGUGAAAUUUUCCUUUAAAAACCCCUAUUCCCAGCCAUUCAGGGUCGAAACUCCUCUACCCCUGUGUGGGAUAUGAGUCUCUGCCCCAUCGCUCUGGUUCCUGUCAAUAAACCUCGUGCGAUUGCAGCAAGGACGAUCUCUCGUACUGAUGAUAACAUGAAGUAAAGUGACAGUAGUGGGAAUGAAACCCUCCAGCGCUGAGACAAGAGGAUGGUGCUGAACACACAGAUUUUGAAAUGUCUCCUGCUUCAAUAUGCUUUAUUCCUUCUACAAAGGAGCCAGAAAAGAAGCCAGAACCUGGAAGCAAUCUAGAUGCUCCUCAACUGAGGAAUGGAUGGAGAAAAUGUGCUACAUUUACACAAUGGAAUACUACUCAGCAGGAAAAAAAAAAUGGAAUCUUGAAAUUCGAAGGAAAAUGGAUGGAACUAGAAGAAACCAUUCUGAGCUCAGUAACCCAAUCACAAAAAGACAAAUAUGCCUUCAUCCAGCAGCUGGUGAAAGUAGAAGCAGACACCCACAGCUAAUCACUGAACUGAACUGGAAUCCAGUUGAAGAGAAGGAGGAGUGAUGAGCAAAGGGGUCCAGACCAGGCUGAUGAAACCCACAGAAACAGCUGACCUGAACAAGUGAGAACUCUUUGUCCCCAGACUGAUAGCUGGGAAAC